GGGGCCAUAGCUCAGCUGGGAGAGCGCUUGACUGGCAGUCAAGAGGUCAGGGGUUCGAUCCCCCUUGGCUCCA
rnacentral:tRNA from 1 species